CCUACGGGGGGCAACAGUGAGGAAUAUUGGUCAAUGGCCGAGAGGCUGAACCAGCCAAGUCGCGUGAGGGAAGACGGCCCUACGGGUUGUAAACCUCUUUUGUCGGGGAGCAAAGCGAGUCACGUGUGACCCGUUUAGAGUAUCCGAAGAAAAAGCAUCGGCUAAAUCCGUGCCAUCAGCCGCGGUAAUAGGGAGGAUGCGAGGGUUAUCCGGAUUUAUUGGGUUUAAGGGGUGCGCAGGCGGAGGUGAAUGUCAGCGGUCAAAUUGCGGGGCUCAACCCCGUACUGCCGUUGAAACUGCAUGCCUUGAGUGCGCGAGAGGUAGGCGGAAUGCGUGGUGUAGCGGUGAAAUGCAUAGAUAUCACGAAGAACUCCGAUUGCGAAGGCAGCAUACCGGCGCGCAACUGACGCUCAUGCACGAAAGCGUGGGUAUCGAACAGGAUUAGAUACCCUAGUAGUC
rnacentral:rRNA from 1 species